rnacentral:rRNA from 1 species
GUCCACGCCGUAACGAUGGGUACUAGGUGUGGGAGGUGUCGACUCCUCCCGUGCCGUCGCUAACGCACUAAGUACCCCGCCUGGGAGUACGGCCGCAAGGCUAAACUCAAAGGAAUUGACGGGGCCCGCACAAGCAGCGGAGCAUGUGGUUUAAUUCGACGCAACGCGAAGAACCUUACCUGGGCUUGACAUGUUGGUGACCGCCGUGGAAACACGGUUUUCCUUCGGGACACCAUCACAGGUGGUGCAUGGCUGUCGU